rnacentral:lncRNA from 1 species
GGCAUGACUUUAGGAAUUCUUUGUAAGUCUAGCUUAUAAAGAAAAAUCCCUUGGCUUGAAAUUUUCUAAAAUUAGACUCAAGGAAGUUAGAUAAAAGUAUAUUUGAGAUAAAUGAAUCUGUUCCAAAUUUUUCAAAGCUGCAUCAAUAUAGCACGGUUCAAGCUAUCCACAAAUAUUAUUUAUAUGCCACUGGCAAGGGGCUGUGAUCAAUGUCUGUUUCUUGAAGGCAGAAGUGUGACCCAAAAGCUUCUUAACCAAAUAAGACAUUUAUGUUUUCUAACAUCAAAUUUGCCCGUAUGUUAUCAAGAUGAAUCCAAGGAUUGCUACAAACCAUAUGAACCCCUAAAGGGAAGCUUUCUUACUUCCCCAAAGGAAGAUGCUACAGCAACUUUCAUCACUGCCCAAAGACAGUUGUUUGAGCUGAUGCUGACCACGGCAUGCAAGGUACCUUGCUCGGCAGUGACUAAUCAGGUUCCCACAGGACUCUGUGGUGUAGUGGGCUCCAGAGGAAGUCAAUGGCAAUGAAUCACAGUGCUCAGGAAUGAAAAAUACAGCUGUGAUUCACAUUAACUCAAAGAAAAGGUUGAGGGGAAACAAACCUAAAAAUUAAAACCACACACACGCACGCAUCAGCAAAUACCACGCUGAGCAUGUCAGUGUAGCUUCUGCUUUUGAAAAGUCCAAAGAAGAAAAAGAAAAGCAACUUUUCAAAACAAAGCCUAAUAAAUCUAUUCAUAGCAAGAUUGAACUUGUAUAAUGCAAAAUGUAGUUCCAUAAAAGGAAAUAAAUUACUUUCAGUGAACUUGGGUUUUGUUAUAAGAAAAAGGGAGCCAAUGUAUUGUUUUUGGCCUAAUUUCAAAUAUUCCUAUGUAUACCUUCUUUAAUUUUUAUUGACUACUAUCAAACUUUUAAAUUUUAGCUUUUGCUUCAAUUACUUUAUCUUUGUAAACAGAAUUCGUGCCUCAUUAUAGGCCUUCUCUUAACUAGCAUAAAUUGCUUUCUCAAUAAUGAAUUAUCUAGGAACACAAAAUAAGAAAGUGCAAGUUGGAUUCAUUGUUGUUAGACUCACUAAGCAAUUAAAAAAUAAAUAAAAAAACCACAAACCUCAAGGUUAUUAGGACUGAUCACUUUGAAACCUGCUGGAAAUACUGCAGAAAGUCAUAGAGCUCAGAGCCAGUUAAUAAUCCAUACAGAUACAAAUUGGAGUUUCUUUGUUGGUGCUUAAAUGGAUGACUAUUACAUGACCAAGUUUAUAAAACAUAAAAUGAAGUUAAUAUUUGGAUAAGAUGUGGUUUAUUCUAGCACCAGAAAUGGCCAAGUGGAUUUUAAAAUCAGUGUAGACGAGGGCUGGGCAUGAUGGCUCACACUUGUAAUCCUGAGACUUUUUGGGAGGCUGAGGUGGGAGGAUCACUUGAGGCCAGGAGUUCAAGACCAGAUUGAGCAACAUAUCAAGACCAUGUCUCUACCAAAAAAAAAAAAAAA